CCUACGGGAGGCAGCAGUGAGGAAUAUUGGUCAAUGGGCGCAAGCCUGAACCAGCCAAGUCGCGUGAGGGAUGACGGUCCUAUGGAUUGUAAACCUCUUUUGUCGGGGAGCAAGGCCAGCCACGUGUGGCGGGAAGGAGAGUACCCGAAGAAAAAGCAUCGGCUAACUCCGUGCCAGCAGCCGCGGUAAUACGGAGGAUGCGAGCGUUAUCCGGAUUUAGUGGGGGUAAGGGGUGCGUAGGCGGAAGGUUAAGUCAGCGGUAAAAUGGCGGUGCUCAACACCGGCCGGCCGUUGAAACUGGUCUUCUUGAUUGAGCGAGAAGUAUGCGGAAUGCGUGGUGUAGCGGUGAAAUGCAUAGAUAUCACGCAGAACUCCGAGUGCGAAGGCAGCAUACCGGCGCUCAACUGACGCUGAGGCACGAAAGCGUGGGGAUCGAACAGGAUUAGAUACCCUUGUAGUC
rnacentral:rRNA from 1 species